AUGCAAGUCGAACGAGAUGCUUUUGUAGCAAUACGAGAGUAUUCUAGUGGCGAACGGGUGAGUAACGCGUUGGUGACCUACCCCAAAGUGUGGGAUAACAGUCCGAAAGGAUUGCUAAUACCGCAUGUGGUCUUCGGAUUUAGAAACUGAUGACUAAAGGAGCAAUUCGCUUUGGGAGGGACCUGCGUCCCAUCAGCUAGUUGGUGAGGUAAUGGCUCACCAAGGCGACGACGGGUAGGGGACCUGAGAGGGUGACCCCCCACAAUGGAACUGAAACACGGUCCAUACACCUACGGGUGGCAGCAGUAGGGAAUAUUGCUCAAUGGGCGAAAGCCUGAAGCAGCAACGCCGCGUGUGCGAUGAAGGCCUUCGGGUCGUAAAGCACUUUUCUGAGAGAUGAGAAAGGACAGUAUCUCAGGAAUAAGUCUCGGCUAACUACGUGCCAGCAGCCGCGGUAAAACGUAGGAGGCAAGCGUUAUCCGGAUUCACUGGGCGUAAAGCGCGUGCAGGCGGUGCGGUAAGUUGGGCGUGAAAUCUCCCGGCUCAACUGGGAGAGGUCGUCCAAUACUACCGUACUUGAGAGCAGAAGAGGAAAAUGGAAUUCCCGGUGUAGUGGUGAAAUGCGUAGAUAUCGGGAGGAACACCAGUGGCGAAGGCGAUUUUCUGGUCUGUUUCUGACGCUCAGACGCGACAGCUAGGGUAGUAAACGGGAUUAGAGACCCCGGUAAUCCUAGCCGUAAACGAUGUGAACUUGGCGUUGGUGGGUUAAACUCCAUCAGUGCCGCAGCAAACGCGAUAAGUUCACCGCCUGGGGACUACGGCCGCAAGGUUAAAACUCAAAGGAAUUGACGGGGGCCCGCACAAGCAGCGGAGCGUGUGGUUUAAUUCGAUGCUACACGAAGAA
rnacentral:rRNA from 1 species